rnacentral:lncRNA from 1 species
GAGCAUCCGCCUCUUGAUAGAGUUAGGUCGGGUAGAGAGGGAGCUUAAGAAAAAGCGUGGUUAAUAGAUGUGUUGGUACUUUUUGUUCUAAGGGCGACUUGUACCGUGUCGGCCAUGUACCCCGUCGUUCGUACCGAAUAAUAAAUCGGCCAGAUCAGAUGUAUGCUUUGUUAUUCUUAAGGCGAUGUUAUUUUUGCAUCGUCUAUAAGAUCUAAUAGGAGUUGGCUGCGCCAUCUCGAUACAUUCCACCAUUAUUCAUGCAUCGACCCAUAUACUAGGAUAGUACCUCUUCAGAUAUCUUCCGUUCAAGGCCCUCGUGAACUCCUCUCCCUCGAUCGUUUCCAGUAUAUAUGCGUCUCCCGGGGCGCAUCGGCCAAUUUUAUAUGGCCCUUCCCAAGUGGGCGACCAUUUACUGAACUUGGGAUCCUUGGACCAUAUUGGCAGUACCAACUUCCAUACCAAAUCUCCUUGGGAGAAUUGCUUGACUUUGACCUUCUUGUCGUACCACCUGGC